rnacentral:lncRNA from 1 species
UGUGGAUGCACCCUAAGGUAUGCCCAAAAUGAUAAUUCUAUCAAGCACUCCUCUAUAUAUAAACCUCUAUUUCUCUCUUUCACAUUGUUUCAAGCAAAUUGUCCCAAACAUUUGCUCUGUCCAAAUUAAGAAAAUUAUCGUCUAAAUUUUGUACACUACUCAAUUAUGGCUCUCUCGUAUUCCAUGUUCUUGCUAUCAAUAUUGCUUGCGUUUGCAGCCUUUUCAGCUGCGCAAUCUCCAAUUUCAGCACCUCCAAUGGCAACACCAGCAAUGCCACCAUCUAGCAUGGCGGCACCACCACAAAUGGCUGCAACUCCGCCUUCAACUAGUAUGCCGCCGGCCAUGUCACCACCGCCAAUGGCAGCUCCACCGAUGGCGCCUGGUCCAUCCAUGACCUCACCCCCUGCACCGCCAAUGGCAGCUCCAUCAAUGGCGCCUGGUCCAUCGCCCAUGGGGGAAUCUCCAGGUCCUUCUAUGUCACCCCGGUCGGCUGAUUUUGUACAUGGAUGUAGCACAACUAUCUUGGCACUGCUCGGUGGAGUCGCACUCCUAGCUUAACUUAUGGCUACCGGUUUCAGUUUCCAUUUAUGUUUUUGACUUAUUUGGGAAGGUAAACUAGUACUUAUUAUCAAAAGAAGCUACGAUCUUGCUAGUUAUAUUGUUCUACAUACGUACCAAACUUGUGCUUCGUGUAGGGUUGAAUAAUUAUUUGUGAAUUCUUUCUGUUCCAAGUGUUUCUUCGUGCUAUAUCUACAUGUAACCAUUUAUUUGGUGAUUGAUUAUGGAUUGUAUUAUAGAUUUAUUGUGCUACUACUCGUAGCAUUUUGGCUUUAGCUUUAAUAAGAAGACUCUUUCAUUAUUGUUUGUGUUUCAGUACUAAGAAUCUCUAAUACAAGUAUUGGAAAACUGAAAAAUAAAGCAUUGGAAUUGACUAACAACACACUCUGUAUACGUUUCUUACGUUAGGCUAUACAUGAUUGAAGUGAAUAACUAUUAAAUUGUUUACGUGUCUCAAUCUGUUCCCCGAUACUGUCAAUCUUAUCUAAUCAAAUAUACUAAACAUGUUAAACAUACAGUUCUACUUCGAUUUUCAUGGUUGCUUGACUAAUUGAAUUCAACUAAGCACAAAUUGUUUUAAGAUUGAAAAUGCAUGUGUUUUGUGUGUGAACGUUUAGAUAAAACACUAACUAAAUGGGUGGAGGAGAGGUGAGAAGCCUUUUAGGAAAUGGGGAAAGUGUCCAAUGGGAGUUUUGAGUGGAUUGGAAAGAAG